UGGGGCACUGUGGGGCUCUAUGGGGCAGUAUGGGGCUAUGGGGCGCUAUGGGGCAAUAGGAGUCGCUAUGGGGCGCUAUGAGGCAGUAUGGGGCUCCAUGGGGCUCUAUGGGACAGUAUGGUGCACUAUGGGGCAGUAGAGGGCGCUAUGGGGCGCUAUGGGGCAGUAGGGGGCGCUGUGGGGCGCAGUGUUUGCAGCGUGCUGACCUCCUCGACGAGCCGCGCCUGUCCGUGCAGCAGCGCCGGCAGCAGCGCCCUCUGCAGGAGCCGCACCGAGCCGGGGAACAGCAGCCGGCGGCCCAGCGUGUGCGCCAGGACCAGGCUGAAACGGGCGGGGUUACGCGAGGCCACGCCCACUGAGGGGCGGGGCUACGCGAGGCCACGCCCACUAUGGGGCGGGGCUGCGGCAUAGUGUGCAUCUGAACCGGGCUGAAAGGGGCGGGGUUACGCUGGCCACGCCCACUGAGGGGCGGGGCUACGCGAGGCCACGCCCACUAAGGGGCGGGACCGCGACACAGACUGAAUCGGAACCAGGCAGAAAGGGGCGGGGCUGCUGUGGACACGCCCACUAAGGGGCGGGGCUACGGCAUAGCGUGUGAAAGAACCGGGCUGAAGGGGGGCGGGUUACAGUGGCAACGCCCACUGGGGGGCGUGGCUAGGCGAGGCCACGCCCACUAAGGGGCGGGGCUACAGCACAAUGUCAGCCAGAACCGGGCUGAAAGGGGCGGGGAUACGGUGGACACGCCCACUAAGGGGUGGGGCUACUGCACAGUUUGCACCAGAGUCGGACAGAAAGGGGCGGGGUUCCGGUGGCCACGCCCACGGAGGGGCAGGGUUACGGUGGACACGCCCACUAAGGGGCGGGGCUACAACACAGACCAAAUCGGAACCAGACUGAAAGGGGUGGGGUUACGAUGGACACGCCCACUAAGGGGCGGGGCUACGGCAUAGCGUGUGAAAGAACCGGGCUGAAGGGGGCGGGGUUACGGUGAACACGCCCACUAUGGGGCGGGGCUACGGCACAAUGUGAGCCAGAACCGGGUUUAAAGGGGCGGGGUUACGGUGGACACGCCCACUAAGGGGCGGGGCUACGGCACUGUGUGCGAAGAACCGGGCUGAAAGGGGCGGGGUGACGAUGGCUACGCCCACUGAGGGGCGGGGCUACGCGAGGCCACGCCCGAUAAGGGUCGGGGCUACGGCUCAGUGUGCGAAGAACCGGGCUGAAAGGGGCGGGGUUACAGUGGCCACGCCCACCAAGGGGCGGGGCUACGGCAUUGAGUGCGCUUGAACCAGGCUGAAAAGGGGGGUCUACGAUGGACACGCCCACUAAGGGGCGGGACUAAGCCUAGCCACGCCCACUAAUGGGCGGUGCUAUGGCUUCGUGUGCGCCAGAAGGAGGCUGAAAGGGGUGG
rnacentral:lncRNA from 1 species